rnacentral:rRNA from 1 species
ACUCAAAAGAAUUGACGGGGGCCCGCACAAGCGGUGGAGCAUGUGGUUUAAUUCGAAGCUACGCGAAGAACCUUACCAGGUCUUGACAUCUUCUGCUAACCUAAGAGAUUAGGCGUUCCCUUCGGGGACGGAAUGACAGGUGGUGCAUGGUUGUCGUCAGCUCGUGUCGUGAGAUGUUGGGUUAAGUCCCGCAACGAGCGCAACCCUUAUUAUUAGUUGCCAGCAUUAAGUUGGGCACUCUAGUGAGACUGCCGGUGACAAACCGGAGGAAGGUGGGGACGACGUCAAAUCAUCAUGCCCCUUAUGACCUGGGCUACACACGUGCUACAAUGGACGGUACAACGAGUUGCGAGACCGCGAGGUUUAGCUAAUCUCUUAAAACCGUUCUCAGUUCGGACUGCAGGCUGCAACUCGCCUGCACGAAGUUGGAAUCGCUAGUAAUCGCGGAUCAGCAUGCCGCGGUGAAUACGUUCCCGGGCCUUGUACACACCGCCCGUCACACCAUGAGAGUUUGUAACACCCAAAGCCGGUGGAGUAACCUUCGGGAGCUAGCCGUCUAAGGUGGGACAGAUGAUUGGGGUGAAGUCGUAACAAGGUAAC